UACGUAGGGUGCAAGCGUUGUCCGGAAUUAUUGGGCGUAAAGAGCGUGUAGGCGGCCCGAUUAGUCCGCUGUGAAAGUCCAGGGCUCAACCCUGGAAUGCCGGUGGAUACUGUCGGGCUAGAGUCCGGAAGAGGCGAGUGGAAUUCCUGGUGUAGCGGUGGAAUGCGCAGAUAUCAGGAGGAACACCAAUAGCGAAGGCAGCUCGCUGGGACGGUAUUGACGCUAAGGCGCGAAAGCGUGGGGAGCAAACAGG
rnacentral:rRNA from 1 species